CUCCAUUAUCGCCAGCCUUGGAUCGAAGGUGUGCAGGAGGAGAUACAACGCCUGACUAGGCGUCUGGAGGAGGCGGAGCAGGUUAUGAAAGUCGUCCCGGAGCUCAAUCAACAGAUUGAUAGACUGGAGGGAGAGGUUUAUAACCUCACCGUGCAGGUAGCUCACCUGGAGAAGCUCUGCUUCGAAUGAAAAUCAAAGGUUGUCACGGGUCUCAACUGUCUCAGCUGGCUUCUCUACUGGCUUCUCUACUGCCUUCUCUACUGCUUCCUUAUUUGCAUGCUUCACGGGUUUAAUGUAAUUUGUUUUAAUGGCUUCUCUACUGCCAUUUGUUCAAUGUAUUUUGUUUUCGGACUUGACAAGUGCAG